rnacentral:rRNA from 1 species
AGGACGAACGCUGGCGGCGUGCUUAACACAUGCAAGUCGAACGGAAAGGCCCUGCUUUUGUGGGGUGCUCGAGUGGCGAACGGGUGAGUAACGCGUGAGUAACCUGCCCUUGACUUUGGGAUAACUUCAGGAAACUGGGGCUAAUACCGGAUAGGAGCUCCUGCUGCAUGGUGGGGGUUGGAAAGUUUCGGCGGUUGGGGAUGGACUCGCGGCUUAUCAGCUUGUUGGUGGGGUAGUGGCUUACCAAGGCUUUUGACGGGUAGCCGGCCUGAGAGGGUGACCGGCCACAUUGGGACUGAGAUACGGCCCAGACUCCUACGGGAGGCAGCAGUGGGGAAUAUUGCACAAUGGGCGGAAGCCUGAUGCAGCAACGCCGCGUGCGGGAUGACGGCCUUCGGGUUGUAAACCGCUUUCGCCUGUGACGAAGCGUGAGUGACGGUAAGUGGUAAAGAAGCACCGGCUAACUACGUGCCAGCAGUCGC